rnacentral:rRNA from 1 species
GCAUUAGCUAGUCGGCGGGGUAACGGCCCACCGAGGCGACGAUGCGUAGGGGUUCUGAGAGGAAGGUCCCCCACACUGGUACUGAGACACGGACCAGACUCCUACGGGAGGCAGCAGUGAGGAAUAUUGGUCAAUGGGCGGGAGCCUGAACCAGCCAAGUCGCGUGAGGGAAGACGGUCCUACGGAUUGUAAACCUCUUUUGCCGGGGAGCAACGGGGUCCUUGCGAGGGCCCGAUGAGAGUACCCGGAGAAAAAGCAUCGGCUAACUCCGUGCCAGCAGCCGCGGUAAUACGGAGGAUGCGAGCGUUAUCCGGAUUUAUUGGGUUUAAAGGGUGCGUAGGCGGGCUGUUAAGUCAGCGGUCAAAUGUCGGGGCUCAACCCCGGCCUGCCGUUGAAACUGGCGGCCUCGAGUGGGCGAGAAGUAUGCGGAAUGCGUGGUGUAGCGGUGAAAUGCAUAGAUAUCACGCAGAACUCCGAUUGCGAAGGCAGCAUACCGGCGCCCGACUGACGCUGAGGCACGAAAGCGUGGGUAUCGAACAGGAUUAGAUACCCUGGUAGUCCACGCAGUAAACGAUGAAUGCUAGCUGUCCGGUUCUACGGGACUGG